rnacentral:pre_miRNA from 14 species
UUCAAAGAUGAGGGUGGUCCCCGAUCCUGGACGAGUCCCCAAAUAAAAGACACCAGAAUGGGGACACUCUCACUCAAGUCUUGGGAUGACGCAACCCCCAAGAACUCAGGAGAGA